rnacentral:lncRNA from 1 species
GGGGUCAGCCCCCACCCGGCCAGCCGCCCCGUCCGGGAGGGAGGUGGGGGGUCAGCCCCCGCCCGGCCAGCCGCCCCGUCCUGGAGGGAGGUGGGGGGUCAGCCCCCGCCCGGCCAGCCGCCCCGUCCAGGAGGUGAGGGGCACCUCUGCCCGGCCGCCCCUACUGGGAAGUGAGGAGCCCCUCUGCCCGGCCACCACCCCGUCUGGGAGGUGUACCCAACAGCUCAUUGAGAACGGGCCAUGAUGACAAUGGCGAUUUUGUGGAAUAGAAAAGGGGGAAAGGUGGGGA